CACAGAGGCAUCCAGAAAUUGAGAAGGUUGGGGGAGAUCGGAAGAGAGAAAGAGAGACACUUGCAGCACUGCUUCACCACUCACAAAGCUUUCCCCAUGCAGAUGGGGACCAGGGCCUCGAACCCAGGUAGCUUUGGGAACAUGAAGAGUUAAAGCUAUGCAUCUGGAGAAGCCUGAUCAAUAGAUGAGGACUCAGUUCAAGUUCCGGGAAAAGAAAGACUGCUAGUCACAAAACGAAGAUGAAAGGAUUGUACAAACCACAAUCACAGCCACCUUGUGCUGAAGGGUACCUGUGGAUGAUGGCCAGGUGUCUCCUAAGCAAAGAGAAAGAUGUUUAAUUAUAAAAGGGCAUGGAUGCAGCAAGGCACAGUGGCAGGAACAAUCAUUCAUUUCACUUCAGUUACUCUCCUGAGGGUCAUUAAGGAUAGACAAAGCAAGAAAUCAAGAGGAAAGGGGGUGAGAGGGAAGAGACAGAGAGACUCCUGCAACACUACUUCACUCACGAAGCAUCCCUUCUGCAGAGAAAUAAAUCUCUGAAGAAGUCCAAGAGAGAGCUACCAUCUGGUUGGACGCCUGGCUUCCUCAAUAUCGCACCCCAGACCUACUGCCAAGUGUCAGGAAGGUUUCCUGUGCUGGAGGAAGGUGGCUGCCUGCUCAGGGCCAAUCUGCUGACAUCAGAUGAGAGUCUAAUGAGGUGGGACUUAGCAAGAUUGCUCCUGACCUCCAGUCUUAUCAUUGCCUCUGGCACCAUCACAGUAGGGCACAGAAGGGUCAGCAAUUCGACAAUAAAAAUGGGAACUGUUUAGUAGUCGGCUCUGUAGUUGCUGAUGAUCUGCUAAUUUCUUAAAGAAUCUACAACUAAAGAAUCUACAAGCAAAGACAACACUGCACAUCCUGGGUAACUACAAGGCGACACUGUUGGAAAAAGCCACAGAACUGCUUUUCCAGUGCUGACACUUUGCAGAAGUUUUGGCCUGCUUUCUGCACACUUCAGUUCUAAUAACCAAUGCCUUUUUGUUUCCCCCCUUUUUGUAAAGAGGAGUUAAGUCACAUGCUAUGAAAGUUCA